rnacentral:rRNA from 1 species
UACGAAGGGUGCAAACGUUGCUCGGAAUUAUUGGGCGUAAAGCGCACGUAGGCGGCUUAGCAAGUCCCAUGUGAAAGCCCACGGCUUAACCGUGGAAGUGCAUGGGAAACUGCUGAGCUUGAGUACUUAAGAGGAUCGCGGAAUUCCCGGUGUAGAGGUGAAAUUCGUAGAUAUCGGGAGGAACACCAGUGGCGAAGGGCG